CAUUAGAUCCAGUGAUUUGAGAUGUUGGUGUUUCUGUAGUUUCCCUCAGUGAGGACUUGUUAAUAUGGAAUCAUCAGCAAGCCAUGCACAUGCAUGAUUUUCUUUAUCCUUAGCCUCUACAGGUUCACAGACAUGCCAUGCAACAAGGGUCCAUUUAUGUCUGAUGCCCAUAUUUCCAUGAAUGGUUAAGAACCCAUUUCACAUCUAAUUAAACUAUAGAGAAUGUGAAAGAGCAAAGCAACUAUUUCUUAGGCUAUAGAACUAACCAAGCUCCUUGUCAAAUGCAUGCUUUCAUCUUUCUAUCCUUCCUUCCUCUGUUAUGCUCUCUUCAAUGAUUCUAUCCCUCCCUCUGUUAGUAACUCUCCUGUGUGUGGAAAUGAGAAAAUUGCAGAAAUGGGGGUUCCCUCCAGCCCAAAGCAGUCCAUGAUCAUCUUCUCAAUAGCUGUUUUGGACUGAAGGGAGCUCCUAAUUCUUCUCUUUUCCUUUGUUGAUGGCUUCAAUGGAUUAUUUUCACCUCUUAUUAUCAACACAGCAUAGCCUUGCAAGCAGGUAAUUACUGAAUUCAAGUCAUGCUGUAUGAACACACACAGAGCUUACCAAAUACUCAAUCUUACUUGUAUAUGAAAUAGUAGUUUCAUUUAGAAGAUUUGGUUGAGAUAAAUGAGACAUUGAAGCGCAAGUUUGAAGUA